rnacentral:rRNA from 1 species
UCGAAGGUAGCAUAAUCAGUAGUUUUUUAAUUGAAAACUUGUAUGAAGGGUUAAACGAAAUAUAGGCUGUUUCAUAAAAAUAGUAAUAGAAUUUUACUUUUUAGUUAAAAGGCUAAAAUAAAAUUAAAAGACGAGAAGACCCUUUAGAAUUUUAUAUUUAUUUAUUUAUAAAUUUAUUAUAAUAAUUUAUUUUAUAUUUAAAUAAUUAUUUUGUUGGGGUGACAAUAAAAUUUAUAAAUCUUUUAUUAAAAUUUUAACAAAGAUUUUUGAUUUAUUGAUCCAUUAAUAAUGAUUAUAAGAUUAAAUUACCUAAGGGAUAACAGCGUAAUUUUUUUGAAGAGUUCUUAUCAAUAAAAAAUUUUGC